GUUGAUGUGGCUGAAUGGCUAGGCAAGUGAUUGCAAACCACUUUAAUGCAGGUUCGACCCCUGUCAUCAACUCCA
rnacentral:tRNA from 1 species